rnacentral:rRNA from 1 species
UAGUCCACGCUGUAAACGAUGUCUACUAGCCGUUGGUUUCCUUGAGGAAGCAGUGGCGCAGCUAACGCGAUAAGUAGACCGCCUGGGGAGUACGGCCGCAAGGUUAAAACUCAAAUGAAUUGACGGGGGCCCGCACAAGCGGUGGAGCAUGUGGUUUAAUUCGAUGCAACGCGAAGAACCUUACCAGGUCUUGACAUCCUGAAAACUUUCUAGAGAUAGAUUGGUGCCUUCGGGAAUUCAGUGACAGGUGCUGCAUGGCUGUCGCCAGCCCGUGUCGUGAGAUGUUGGGUUAAGUCCCGUAACGAGCGCAACCCUUGUCCUUAGUUACCAGCGCGUUAUGGCGGGGACUCUAGGGAGACUGCCGGUGACAAACCGGAGGAAGGUGGGGACGACGUCAAGUCAUCAUGGCCCUUACGACCUGGGCUACACACGUGCUACAAUGGACAGUACAAAGGGUCGCGAAAGCGCGAGCCGGAGCUAAUCCCAUAAAACUGUUCGUAGUCCGGA